AACGGACGCUGGCGGCAGGCUUAACACAUGCAAGUCGAACGAGAUCUUCGGAUCUAGUGGCAGACGGGUGAGGAACACGUGGGAACAUCCCUUUCAGUUCGGAAUAACGUUGGGAAACUAACGCUAAUACCGGAUACGUCCUUCGGGAGAAAGAUUUAUCGCUGAAAGAUUGGCCCGCGUCUGAUUAGCUAGUUGGUGAGGUAAUGGCUCACCAAGGCUACGAUCAGUAGCUGAUCUGAGAGGAUGAUCAGCCACAUUGGGACUGAGACACGGCCCAAACUCCUACGGGAGGCAGCAGUGGGGAAUAUUGGACAAUGGGCGCAAGCCUGAUCCAGCCAUGCCGCGUGAGUGAUGACGGCCUUCGGGUUGUAAAGCUCUUUUGUCCGGGAAGAUAAUGACUGUACCGGAAGAAUAAGCCCCGGCUAACUUCGUGCCAGCCGCCGCGGUAA
rnacentral:rRNA from 1 species